GCUGGGGUUCAGGGAGGGUGGACGCUUCAGUGGAGCGGCCCUGGGGCGCGCCUUCCCCUCCGGAGCCUCGGUUUCCUCCCUUCGAACUGUGGGGAAUGGGAGCCCCUUGCCCUGCAGGCGCAGAGUGAGACCUAGAGGGUCCGGGGCCGGCGCAAGCCCACGCACUGCGAUCGCUCAAUGAACUAGCCCCUGGUCCAGCCUCCUUCUGGCUCCUCGACCUUUCCCGGGGUCUCACUUUAGGACCCACCUCUCAGCAUCUCUGCCGAGAAGGUCAAGAUGGUGCAACCUUGAAGAUGCUUACAAGGAUGGGCUGGCCUGGAAAGGCUUCUGCAGCUGGCAUAGCUACAGUCUGGAACAUCAGUGACGUUCAGGCAGACUUCCUGGAGGAGAAGCAUCCUGGGCCGCAUAGGCUCCUGCAGGACAUUGACAAGGAGGCUGCUCCAGUCCGAGCUGGUGGACCGGCCAGAUCCACGGCAUCACCUGCGACUGAGAGCCGGGUUCCCACUUCCAUGGGAGCUCCAUGUUCUCCAGUCCUUCCGGCCUUGACCAGAGCGCAGGGCUGGGUCAGGCGAAGAGCAGGCGGGCACCGGGUCUGCUGUGCUUGUGACUCACUGCUUAGAACAGCAUGGGGUCACGACCUUCUUCUCCCUGAGCCUUGGCGUGAAGGACGUUCUAGAAGGUAAGUCCCCAGCCCAGUCCUGCCCAGCCUCCUGCCUGGGGGGCCUGGCUGUGCUUCUUUCCCC
rnacentral:lncRNA from 1 species